rnacentral:rRNA from 1 species
GACGUAGGGCGCGAGCGUUGUCCGGAUUUACUGGGCGUAAAGGGCUCGUAGGCGGUUUGUCGCGUCGGGAGUGAAAACACCGGGCUUAACUCGGUGCUUGCUUUCGAUACGGGCAGACUAGAGGUAUGCAGGGGAGAACGGAAUUCCUGGUGUAGCGGUGAAAUGCGCAGAUAUCAGGAGGAACACCGGUGGCGAAGGCGGUUCUCUGGGCAUUACCUGACGCUGAGGAGCGAAAGUGUGGGGAGCGAACAGG